GCUUACAGCCAUCCCACACUGAGCACGCCUGAUCUCAUACGAUCUCGGAAGCUAAGCAGUGCUGGGCCUGGUUAGUACUUGGAUGGGAGACCAACUGGGAAUACCAGGUGCUGUAAGCU